GCACUGCUGAGGAAACCCACAAUAGGACGAAACGGCCGUCCAGUAC
rfam:Schistosoma haematobium scaffold622_14, whole genome shotgun sequence.